rnacentral:rRNA from 1 species
CCCUUAGAUGUUCUGGGCCGCACGCGCGCUACACUGAUGAAUGCAACGAGCUCUACCCUUGACCGAAAGGCCCGGGUAAACUUGUGAAACUUCAUCGUGAUGGGGAUAGAUUAUUGCAAUUAUUAAUCUUCAACGAGGAAUUCCUAGUAAGCGCGAGUCAUCAGCUCGCGUUGAUUACGUCCCUGCCCUUUGUACACACCGCCCGUCGCUCCUACCGAUUGAAUGCUCAGGUGAGCCAUUCGGACUUUCAUCAUGCUGGUUUCCAGUUUUGAUGAAGGAAAGUCUUGCGAACCUUAUCAUUUAGAGGAAGGAGAAGUCGUAACA